GAAAGGUAUGCUAAUACGGGAUAAUAUAUUUGAGAGGCAUCUCUUGAAUAUCAAAGGUGAGCCAGUACAGGAUGGACCCGCGUCUGAUUAGCUAGUUGGUAAGGUAACGGCUUACCAAGGCGACGAACAGUAGCCGACCUGAGAGGGUGAACGGCCACAUUGGAACUGAGACACGGUCCAAACUCCUACGGGAGGCAGCAGUGGGGAAUAUUGCACAAUGGGCGAAAGCCUGAUGCAGCAACGCCGCGUGAGUG
rnacentral:rRNA from 1 species